GGCCCUUUGGCCCAAUGGUAAGGCGUCUGACUACGAGACCAAACAUGGUAAAACCACCAAUGUUUGCUCGGUUAUCAGGAGAUUCUGGGUUCGAGCCCCAGGAGGGUCA
rnacentral:tRNA from 1 species